CAUCGAUGUCGGCCUUGGGCAGGCUCACAUCCACAUCUGGACCUUCUCCUUUGAAGCCAGGCAUGCUGAAUUUGGGCAUUUUCACCUUGGGCAUCUUCAGGUGCCAGUCUGGGCCAUGAACAUCCACAUCAGGGGUGUUGAUGUCCACUUUUGGGCCCUUGAUGUCAGCUUCUGGGCCCUUGAGGUCACCUUCCACUUUAGGAAGGGUAACAUCCACAUCGCCCUUCACUUUGGGUCCUUUCAGGUUUAAGUCAAUAUCAGGCAUGGAGAUCUUGGGGGCAUUUUCACCUUGGGCAUCUUCAGGUGCCAAUCUGGGCCAUGAACAUCCACAUCUGGAGCACUAAUGUCAACUUUGGGCCCUUUAAUGUCAACAUCUGGCACUUUCAUUUCACCUUCUA
rnacentral:lncRNA from 1 species